GUGUGCCGAGUUUGUAGUGCAUUUUCAAUGGCACUCCGGAGUCAUGGGGGCGCGAAAUUGUAUUGUUGGGAUAUAAGAAUACCCCUUUUUGCACUGAAGUCUGUCGGUUCAAGGUUACCCCUUGUUGUGGAUUGUGAAGAGUUUAAGGUGCUAUGCAAAUUGUGUGGGGUAAAAACCGUUUUGUAAGAACGUCUAUUUCCCCGUGCAUAGCGAAGUCACCGUUUCUUCGUGAAAGUAUGAAAUAUCUCAUUGAAUCUGCUUCGUCUGAAACCUGCUCAAACUCAACAGUGAUAUUACUAAUAGAUAUGUUUCGUUCACAUAACAUGGCGCAUAAAAUCAGUUCUCGCUAUGAG